GUACCCUCACCUGUACCUCACCGCAGUCGCCGGCUUUGAGUUAUGCCUUCUUUGCGUGUGCAGGAGUCGCCUUCACUUGAAAACAUCCGUCGAGACCUGCACAUUUAGUUUUGGUGGUUUUGACGCUGUGCGAAUGGCUGAGGCUGUCUCUGCGAUGCACUCUCAGCGCGUAGACUGUCGUUUUGUACGUUGGUGGUAACGACGUUUGCAGUGCCAACGCGGACCCUCAAGAAUAGGGAAGUUAGUUCUGCAACUGCAGCACGAUGUGGCCCCCGUGGUGUAUACGUCUUCAAAGUGCUGCCACGUUGCUCCAGCUCUGAAGACGCCGAUGCAGAGCGCCAGAUCAAGAAAACGCGCUUGCUGAACCGCAAGCUGACGGCUACGCUGAAACGCCUGCCGUGUGUUCGAAUCUUAAACGCCGAGCAUCGGUUUCUCAAUUCCUCGAAAGAGCCACGACGUGCGCUCUUAGCAAUUGAUGGGUACCAUGUGCACAGAGGCCAAGGGAUCGAUCAGCUGG